rnacentral:rRNA from 1 species
UGGGGAAUAUUGGACAAUGGGCGAAAGCCUGAUCCAGCCAUGCCGCGUGUGUGAAGAAGGUCUUCGGAUUGUAAAGCACUUUAAGUUGGGAGGAAGGGCAGUAAGCGAAUACCUUGCUGUUUUGACGUUACCGACAGAAUAAGCACCGGCUAACUCUGUGCCAGCAGCCGCGGUAAUACAGAGGGUGCAAGCGUUAAUCGGAAUUACUGGGCGUAAAGCGCGCGUAGGUGGUUCGUUAAGUUGAAUGUGAAAGCCCCGGGCUCAACCUGGGAACUGCAUCCAAAACUGGCGAGCUAGAGUAGGGCAGAGGGUGGUGUAAUUUCCUGUGUAGCGGUGAAAUGCGUAGAUAUAGGAAGGAACACCAGUGGCGAAGGCGACCACCUGGGCACAUACUGACACAGAGGUGCGAAAGCGUGGGGAGCAAACAGU